rnacentral:lncRNA from 1 species
GGGUCGCUAGUGUAGGAAAUUACUUGGUGGGGGUUUUAUUCCUGUUAUGAUUCCGUCUUUCGUGUUCCAUGUUUUAUUACGAAUCUGUGUGCUUUCCUCUGCUUUCCUCUAUUUUAUAUUACUUAUGGGUGCCGUAUUUAUGUUAUGUAAUCUGCUUCUGUGCUUUACUAUGUGUUUGUGUGGUAUCUCGUGUCUUGAGCUGGGGGUCUAUCGGAAACAGCCUUUCUACUUCAUCAGAGAUAGAGGUAUGGACUGCGUACAUCUUACCCCCCAGACC